GACCCUUCGGGAGCCUAUACAGGUGUUGCAUGGCUGUCGUCAGCUCGUGUCGUGAGAUGUUCGGUUAAGUCCGCUAACGAGCGCAACCCUCGUCGUAUGUUAUAUGUGUCAUACGAGACUGCCGGUAAAAAGCCGGAGGAAGGUGAGGAUGAUGUCAAGUCAGCAUGACCUUUAUAUCCAGGGCUACACACACGCUACAAUGGUCUGUACAAUGGGUAGCCAAGCCGCGAGGCGGAGCCAAUCCUGAAAGCAGGCCUCAGUUCAGAUUGCAGUCUGCAACUCGACUGCAUGAAGCCGGAGUUGCUAGUAACCGCAGGUCAGCAAUACUGCGGUGAAUACGUUCCCGGGUCUU
rnacentral:rRNA from 1 species